rnacentral:rRNA from 1 species
AUGGUGAUCAUUUUUUUGGCAUUUAUAGUAAUUCUUGUUACACACAUAGUUGUUUUCGUCGGAGACGAUCAUUACUAUAGUAGUUGUAGUUGCACAUACAGUUGUUCUCAGUUGGAUCCUAUUAUUGAAAAAUUGCACACAUGGCAAUCAUUUUUUGUUUGCAUCUAUAGUAGUUCUAGUUGCACACAUAGUUGUUUUCAGUUGGACACGAUCAUUGGAAAAUUACACACACGGCGAUCAAUUUUGGGUGGCAUCUAUAGUCGUUCUAGUUGCACACAUAGUUGUUUUCAGUUGGAUACGGUCAUUGGAAAGCUGCACACACGGUGA